rnacentral:rRNA from 1 species
UACUAGAGUAGCACUCGCAUAUCAAUAAGCGGAGGAAAAGAAACUAACAAGGAUUCCCCUAGUAACGGCGAGUGAAGCGGGAAGAGCUCAAAUUUGAAAUCUUAAAGGGUUUCCCUUUACGAAUUGUAGUUUAAAGAAGUGUUUUCUGUUGAGGUUUUGGUAAAAGUUCUUUGGAAUAGGACAUCAUAGAGGGUGAGAAUCCCGUAUUUGACCUUUACUUUCAACUUUGUGAUACACUUUCAAAGAGUCGGAUUGUUUGGGAAUGCAGUCCAAAAUGGGUGGUAAAUUUCAUCUAAAGCUAAAUAUUGGCGAGAGACCGAUAGCGAACAAGUACCGUGAGGGAAAGAUGAAAAGAACUUUGAAAAGAGAGUUAAACAGUACGUGAAAUUGUCAAAAGGGAAGCGUUUGACACCAGUAUUGUUUUUCUGAAAAUCAAUUAAAGAACUGUUUAUGCUAAGUUGUUUAGACUUUAUCAGCUAACUGUUUAGUUUUGAGCUUUUCUUUAAUGCACUUUUCAGUUAACAAGUCAACAUCAAUUUCUUUUGCUGUAAAAAAGCUUGAGGAAGGUGGCUUGAGAUUCGUCUUAAGUGUUUAUAGCCUCUUGCCUAUGCAGUCGGAGAGAUUGAGGUCUGCAGCGUAGAUCCUUCGGGGCUAAAUGCAUUUGUGCUAAGUUCAUAGCAUUUUAUAGACAACUUGUUGACUAUGAUUUGUCUUGUAGCUUACUCGCUUAUGUUAUUUUACCUACGCUUAGGAUGUUGAUAUCGCGCUCUCACUG